UAAUCAACAAGUUGCCAAGGAAUGUCCUUGGGCCUUAGACAUCAAAACAACUGUCAAUUGCAUUAAGAAAUAGAGAGAUCUAAUCCUAGCUACCCAAACGCAUGGUGAUAUUACUAGAUUAUGCAACUUCCUUAGUUUUUACACCAAGUGUUCUUGUGUUUGAACAAUCCAAGCAAUUACGGACUCAAAAUUAUUCAAACUAACAAUAUAUUACCUUGCAAUCAAGAAUCAAGUGGCCACAUUGAUCAU
rnacentral:lncRNA from 1 species